GACGAACGCUGGCGGCGUGCUUAACACAUGCAAGUCGAACGGUGAACCAGAGCUUGCUCUGGGGAUCAGUGGCGAACGGGUGAGUAACACGUGGGCAACCUGCCCCAGACUCUGGGAUAACCUCGGGAAACCGAUGCUGAUACCGGAUACGACCACUUCGGACAUCCGACGGUGGUGGAAAGUUUUCGGUCUGGGAUGGGCCCGCGGCCUAUCAGCUAGUUGGUGGGGUAAUGGCCUACCAAGGCGACGACGGGUAGCCGGCCUGAGAGGGCGACCGGCCACACUGGAACUGAGACACGGUCCAGACUCCUACGGGAGGCAGCAGUGGGGAAUAUUGCACAAUGGGCGAAAGCCUGAUGCAGCGACGCCGCGUGAGGGACGACGGCCUUCGGGUUGUAAACCUCUUUCAGCAGGGACGAAGCGAAAGUGACUGUACCUGCAGAAGAAGCACCGGCUAACUACGUG
rnacentral:rRNA from 1 species